AGAGUUUGAUCCUGGCUCAGGAUGAACGCUAGCGGCAGGCCUAAUACAUGCAAGUCGAGGGGUAAGGUCUCUUUCGGGAGAUACACGACCGGCGCACGGGUGCGUAACGCGUAUGCAACCUACCUUUAACAGAGGGAUAGCCCCGAGAAAUCGGGAUUAAUACCACAUAACACCACACUGUUUCAUGACGAAGUGGUUAAAGCUCCGGCGGUUAAAGAUGGGCAUGCGUGACAUUAGCUAGUUGGUGAGGUAACGGCUCACCAAGGCAACGAUGUCUAGGGGUUCUGAGAGGAUGAUCCCCCACACUGGUACUGAGACACGGACCAGACUCCUACGGGAGGCAGCAGUAAGGAAUAUUGCGCAAUGGAGGCAACUCUGACGCAGCCAUGCCGCGUGAAGGAAGAAGGCCUUAUGGGUCGUAAACUUCUUUUAUUUAGGAAUAAUCCCCCCAACGUGUUGGGGGUUGAAGGUACUAAACGAAUAAGCACCGGCUAACUCCGUGCCAGCAGCCGCGGUAAUACGGAGGGCGCAAGCGUUACUCGGAAUCACUGGGCGUAAAGAGCGUGUAGGCGGGUAUUUAAGUUGGAAGUGAAAUCCUAUGGCUCAACCAUAGAACUGCUUCCAAAACUGAAUACCUAGAAUAUGGGAGAGGUAGAUGGAAUUUCUGGUGUAGGGGUAAAAUCCGUAGAGAUCAGAAGGAAUACCGAUUGCGAAGGCGAUCUACUGGAACAUUAUUGACGCUGAGACGCGAAAGCGUGGGGAGCAAACAGGAUUAGAUACCCUGGUAGUCCACGCCCUAAACGAUGUACAUUAGUUGUUGCGAUGCUAGACAUUGCAGUAAUGCAGUUAACACAUUAAAUGUACCGCCUGGGGAGUACGGUCGCAAGAUUAAAACUCAAAGGAAUAGACGGGGACCCGCACAAGCGGUGGAGCAUGUGGUUUAAUUCGACGAUACGCGAAGAACCUUACCUGGCCUUGACAUAGAAAGAAUUUAGCAGAGAUGUAAAAGUGCUAGUUUACUAGAGCUUUCAUACAGGUGCUGCACGGCUGUCGUCAGCUCGUGUCGUGAGAUGUUAGGUUAAGUCCUGCAACGAGCGCAACCCUCGUGUUUAGUUACUAACAGUUCGGCUGAGGACUCUAGACAUACUGCCUGGGCAACCAGGAGGAAGGUGAGGACGACGUCAAGUCAUCAUGGCCCUUACGGCCAGGGCUACACACGUGCUACAAUGGGGUAUACAAAGAGCCGCAAUACCGCGAGGUGGAGCAAAUCUCAUAAAAUAUCUCCCAGUUCGGAUUACACUCUGCAACUCGAGUGUAUGAAGUUGGAAUCGCUAGUAAUCGUAGAUCAGCAAUGCUACGGUGAAUACGUUCCCGGGUCUUGUACUCACCGCCCGUCACACCAUGGGAGUUGAAUUCAUUCGAAGCGGGGAUGCUAAAAUAGCUACCUUCCACAGUGGAUUUAGUAACUAGGGUGAAGUCGUAACAAGGUAACC
rnacentral:rRNA from 1 species